UUAAUAAGCGGAGGAAAAGAAACUAACAAGGAUUCCCCCAGUAACGGCGAGUGAAGCGGGAAGAGCUCAAAUUUGAAAUCUCCGAUGCUUGCAUCGGCGAGUUGUAGUUGCGAGAAGCACUUUCUAGGCGGAUCGGUGGUGCCUAAGUUGCUUGGAACAGCACGUCGCAGAGGGUGACAACCCCGUCUGUGGCGGCACCGGCCGCUGACGAUGUGCUUUCGAAGAGUCGGGUUGUUUGGGAAUGCAGCCCAAAAUGGGUGGUAAACUCCAUCUAAAGCUAAAUAUUGGCGUGAGACCGAUAGCGA
rnacentral:rRNA from 1 species